UUGGAUGCAAAGCUUUCUCAGUUUAACAGUGACCGGAGUAUCUCUGCUCUUUAGGACAGAGCUUUCUAUCUUAAGGUCCCAACAAGUGCUUUUUGGUGUCGGUGCUAGAGUUUCAUGUUUGCUGAGCAAGUGCUCUACCGCCGAGCUGCAUCUCCAAACCCACACAGGAAGCCUUGUAAAAAACUGAAAUGAAAGAAAAUACCAGAGCACAUUCAACAAUGAGAAAGAAAAACAAAAGUUGGCUACCACAUCUGGAAAGCUCCGGAUGGGAGAAACCAACAUUCUCACUACCAAGCCUCAGCACAGCUGGAAGGAAUUCGAAGGAGAAGUGUUGUCUCCUGGCCCUUCCCCUGACACUCCUGCGGUUGCAGACAGGUUGACUAUAGAAAAUCACAGCAGGUUGGAGCAUUCCAUUUCCUACUUUGCAAACAGGGAGUGGCCCAACACCUACUUCUGCAUCUCCGCCCAGACUCGGGGGUGGGGGAGGGUGUAAAGGACCUUAAGAGCGAGCGUAUUCCUUUUCCCUUAUGCAAAAAGACUGUUGACCACUCUACGUACAAAAUGUCCCCUGUCUGUCUGCCUUUUCCUCAGCAAUUGCUGAGCCAGUCAUUGGAAAGCGGCAAGGCAAAACACCCAUUACCAAGAUGUAGCUACCAAAGGACUGAGAUUUGGGAUCAGAAAUUCAAUACCUUUACCCCAGCCCUUGUGGACAACUUCCUCCUGUGGGACUGAGGACUCUAAGAGGUCACCAGAAAGUUAUAUAUGAGCUCCUCCAUUGCAUGGACUGUCUACCCCUCCUCAUCCCUGCCCGAGCGCCCUCUGCUCUCAGUGAGUUCUGCUCUUUGUUUCCCCUCAUCUUUUUCCCUGUCUGAAUCCAACCCACAGGGAUUAGCUCAGUUUUCUUAUCUUCUAGGAAGCCAAUCCACAAAGAACACUCAAAAUGCCUAAAAUCUCCUUAUGGCACUUAAAUGUUUAUGGGUAAUAAAAGGAAUCACUCCUCUCCUUAAAAAAAAAAAAAAAAA
rnacentral:lncRNA from 1 species